GGUAGGAUGGCCGAAAGACUAGGCGGGAGGCUGUAGACCCCCAUAUGUGGGUUUAAGUCCCACUACUACCA
rnacentral:tRNA from 1 species